rnacentral:tRNA from 1 species
GGACUAGUAGUCAAGUGGUUAAGACAUAGCCUUUUCAAUGCUACCAUCGCAGGUUCGAUCCCUGUCUAGUCUA